GACGAACGCUGGCGGCGUGCUUAACACAUGCAAGUGGAGCGACGAACCGGGGCUUGCCCCGGGGCAGAGCCGCGAACGGGUGAGUAACACGUGGGUUACCUGCCCCGAUGACCGGGACAACCCGAGGAAACUCGGGCUAAUACCGGAUGUGGUCUUCGGACGAAAGGAAGCUUUUAUUAGCCUCCGCAUUGGGAUGGGCCCGCGGCGCAUUAGCUUGUUGGUUGGGUAACGGCCUACCAAGGCGACGAUGCGAGCUGGUCUGAGAGGACGAUCAGCCACACUGGGACUGAGACACGGCCCAGACUCCUACGGGAGGCAGCAGUGGGGAAUCUUGCACAAUGCGCGAAAGCGUGAUGCAGCAACGCCGCGUGAGGGAAGACGGCCUCGGUGUAAC
rnacentral:rRNA from 1 species